rnacentral:lncRNA from 1 species
GGGAGGGCGAGGGGAGGAGAAAGCGGCGCGCGGGGAGCCCGGCCGCGCUCAGCCGCUCCUCACCUGGGCCGCCGCCGCGCCGUUUCCGUGCUGUUGCUGCUGCUGCUGCUGCUGUUGCUGCUGCUGCAGAUACUCGCCGUGGCCGCCGCCGCCUCCGCCGCCGUCCACGUCCAAGAUAUGCCUGCUGCUCGUGGAAGGAAGAAGUGAGCACGGAAUCCCUUUGGAAUCCCAGAUGGUUAUGAGUUGCCACAGGGAUCAUGGAGAUUUGACUAAGAAGACCACUCACAGGUUGAUCCUUUUGUUCCACAGUGUGAGUCGCAGAUAUCAAACUCAGGUGGCCAGGCCUGGCAGCAAGCUCUUUUGGCCAUUCAGCCAUCUCACUGGCCCUGUGGAAACCUUUUGAAGAAGAUGGACGCACAUGAGCACAAGCUCAGAAAUGAUUAGUUUGAAAGUAGGUUCUUGUAAAUAAAUAAAUAAAUAAGACAAUGGAAUGGAAAGAAGCAAAUCUCCUGCAAGGUUGUUUAAUAUACACUAGCAGUGAAUACAUUAGAAAGCCAGAUGAAUAAACCG